GAAAAAAAAAAAAAAAAAAAAAGUCGUCUCAAAUUCAACAAUUGUUUGCUCAUCAUGAUUCUAAGGGUCGACAGUUUGAGCUUGGACACCUCAUCUAUCCAAGUGAACCCACUCAUUUGUCUCAGGCCAAAUGCAGACUCACGCAGAUCUGGCUGCCGGGCCUUUGAAAAAUGAAGAUUAUAAAACUGGGACAGUUCCCAUGGUGACACAUUGGUCCUUUUGAUCCUCUUUAUUCUCCAAUGGCGACUGGACGAACCACCCAGACAGCUGAAGCUCGUUACAAUCCUUUCUACAAAGAGGGAUCUCAUUUACCCUCCCUCCCCCAACAGCAUAUAUGGCACUGCUGGUAACUUUUAAAAGAAAGACUGAUCUUGCUCAAUAACCAUCAUUGAUGGAGAUAACGGGAG
rnacentral:lncRNA from 1 species